UACGGGGGGGGCAAGCGUUGUUCGGAAUUACUGGGCGUAAAGGGCUCGUAGGCGGCCAACUAAGUCAGACGUGAAAUCCCCAGGCUCAACCUGGGAACUGCGUCUGAUACUGGAUGGCUUGAAUCCGGGAGAGGGAUGCAGAAUUCCAGGUGUAGCGGUGAAAUGCGUAGAUAUCAAGAGGAACACCUGCGGCGAAGGCGGCGACCUGGGUCGAUACUGACGCUGAGGUGCGAAAGCGUGGGGAGCAAACAGG
rnacentral:rRNA from 1 species